rnacentral:rRNA from 1 species
GACGGAGGAUGCAAGCGUUAUCCGGAAUGAUUGGGCGUAAAGCGUCCGCAGGUGGCAGUUCAAGUCUGCUGUCAAAGACCGGGGCUUAACUUCGGAAAGGCAGUGGAAACUGAACAGCUAGAGUAUGGUAGGGGCAGAGGGAAUUCCUGGUGUAGCGGUGAAAUGCGUAGAUAUCAGGAGGAACACCGAUUGCGAAGGCAGCAGGCUAAACAAAUAUUGACGCUGAGGCUCGAAAGCGUGGGGAUCAAACAGG